rnacentral:rRNA from 1 species
GAUGAACGCUAGCGACAGGCUUAACACAUGCAAGUCGAGGGGCAGCGCGGAGGUAGCAAUACCUUUGGCGGCGACCGGCGCACUGGUGAGUAACACGUAUGCGACCUGCCCCGGACAGGGGGAUAAACCCGGGAAACUGGGCCUAAUACCCCAUACGCCUUAAGGAUGCAUGUCCUUUUGGUGAAAGAUCCGUCGGUCCGGGAUGGGCAUGCGGCGCAUUAGCUAGUUGGCGGGGCAACGGCCCACCAAGGCGACGAUGCGUAGGGGUUCUGAGAGGAAGGUCCCCACACUGGUACUGAGACACGGACCAGACUCCUACGGGAGGCAGCAGUGAGGAAUAUUGGUCAAUGGACGAUAGUCUGAACCAGCCAAGUCGCGUGCGGGAUGAAGGCCCUCCGGGUCGUAAACCGCUUUAGCCGGGGAGUAACGUGCGGGACGCGUCCCGCAGUGAGAGUACCCGGAGAAUAAGCAUCGGCUAACUCCGUGCCAGCCGCCGCUGUAACAC